GACGAAGGUGGCUAGCGUUGUUCGGAAUCACUGGGCUUAAAGAGCACGUAGGCGGCCUGUUAAGCACCCUGUGAAAACCCCCGGCUCAACCGGGGAACGGCUGGGUGUACUGGCAGGCUUGAGGCAAGUAAGGGCGCGUGGAACUCUUGGUGGAGCGGUGAAAUGCGUAGAUAUCAAGAGGAACGCCGGAGGCGAAAGCGAUGCGCUGGGCUUGUCCUGACGCUGAGGUGCGAAAGCCAGGGGAG
rnacentral:rRNA from 1 species